UACGUAGGGUGCGAGCGUUGUCCGGAAUUAUUGGGCGUAAAGGGCUCGUAGGCGGUUUGUCGCGUCGGGAGUGAAAACCUCGGGCUUAACUCGGGGCUUGCUUUCGAUACGGGCAGACUAGAGGUAGGUAGGGGAGAACGGAAUUCCUGGUGUAGCGGUGGAAUGCGCAGAUAUCAGGAGGAACACCGGUGGCGAAGGCGGUUCUCUGGGCCUUACCUGACGCUGAGGAGCGAAAGCGUGGGGAGAGAACAGG
rnacentral:rRNA from 1 species